AACGAACGCUGGCGGCAGGCUUAACACAUGCAAGUCGAACGGGCGUAGCAAUACGUCAGUGGCAGACGGGUGAGUAACACGUGGGAAUAUCCCUUUCAGUUCGGAAUAACUCAGGGAAACUUGAGCUAAUACCGGAUACGUCCUUCGGGAGAAAGAUUUAUCGCUGAGAGAUUAGCCCGCGUCUGAUUAGCUAGUUGGUGAGGUAAUGGCUCACCAAGGCGACGAUCAGUAGCUGGUCUGAGAGGAUGAUCAGCCACACUGGGACUGAGACACGGCCCAGACUCCUACGGGAGGCCGCAGUGGGGAAUAUUGGACAAUGGGGGAAACCCUGAUCCAGCCAUGCCGCGUGAGUGAUGAAGGCCUUAGGGUUGUAAAGCUCUUUUGCCAGGGAAGAUAAUGACUGUACCUGGAGAAUAAGCCCCGGCUAACUUCGUGCCAGCCGCCGCGGUAAGAC
rnacentral:rRNA from 1 species